rnacentral:rRNA from 1 species
UCCGUAGGUGGAUAAUUAAGUCAGAGGUGAAAUCCUGCAGCUCAACUGUAGAAUUGCCUUUGAUACUGGUUAUCUUGAGUUAUUAUGAAGUAGUUAGAAUAUGUAGUGUAGCGGUGAAAUGCAUAGAUAUUACAUAGAAUACCAAUUGCGAAGGCAGAUUACUAAUAAUAUACUGACACUGAUGGACGAAAGCGUGGGGACUAACAGGAUUAGAUACCCUGGUAGUCC